rnacentral:rRNA from 1 species
GACGAACGCUGGCGGCGUGCCUAAUACAUGCAAGUUGAGCGAUGAAGAUUGGUGCUUGCACCAAUUUGAAGAGCAGCGAACGGGUGAGUAACGCGUGGGGAAUCUGCCUUUGAGCGGGGGACAACAUUUGGAAACGAAUGCUAAUACCGCAUAUUAACUUUAAACAUAAGUUUUAAGUUUGAAAGAUGCAAUUGCAUCACUCAAAGAUGAUCCCGCGUUGUAUUAGCUAGUUGGUGAGGUAAAGGCUCACCAAGGCGAUGAUACAUAGCCGACCUGAGAGGGUGAUCGGCCACAUUGGGACUGAGACACGGCCCAAACUCCUACGGGAGGCAGCAGUAGGGAAUCUUCGGCAAUGGACGAAAGUCUGACCGAGCAACGCCGCGUGAGUGAAGAAGGUUUUCGGAUCGUAAAACUCUGUUGGUAGAGAAGAACGUUGGUGAGAGUGGAAAGCUCAUCAAGUGACGGUAACUACCCAGAAAGGGACGGCUAACUACGUG